rnacentral:tRNA from 1 species
GCCCGUAUGGCGCAGUGGUUAACGCAUCCCACUUGUAAUGGGAAGAUCCCUCGUUCGACUCGGGGUGCGGGCA